UCGGAACACGGGUGUGCUAGUUUCGUCGUCCGGGGCUGGUGACACUGCUGAUCCCGAAGGGAAAACGAUGGGAUCAUCGCCUUCACUGUCUGCCAGGGAAACUCGCAGUCUUUCCGACUCGACCGGCUUUUCUUCGGAGCAAAUUGAAAUUCUCCAUAGAAGGUUCUUACACCUAUCUGAUGGGAGGCCUACAAUGAGCAAAAGUAGCUUUGACAGCAUUCAGGAUUUGGACAAUAAUCCCAUUAAGUCAAGAAUCGUCAAUGCAUUUUUUGAUGGGAGAAAUCUGGGCUUAACAUCAAGAUCAGUUGAUGAAAUCACAUUUGAAAACUUUCUGACCACGUUAUCAUAUUUCCAACAUAUGGACGAGGAUCAUCCAGUGGAGGAUUUAGAAGAAUGCAAAACGAGAAAAUUGAAAUUUUUAUUUCACAUGUAUGACACUGAUAGAGAUGGAAAAAUCACCUUGGAAGAAUUAAGAGAGAUUGUAAAAGAACUAUUAUCCAAGAAAUGUUCAACAGAGAAAACUUCCUCAUCAAUUGCAGAUGCUGCAAUGUUGGAGGCUGCAAACAUCUGCAAAGGAGAAAUGGAACCUAAUGAAGUGUAUGAGGAAAUAAACUUACAGGACUUCCUUCAGAUAAUGAAGGACCUCAAGAUAGAAUCCAAAAUGCACGUGCGUUUUCUACAGUUGGAUACAACAGCCUUGUGCAGAUAGUAAAAGAUUCAGUAGGGAACAACCACAAAAAAAUUUAUGGAUGGUGAAUGAGAUAAUGCAGUACAAUUCCAAAGUGACUCUACUGAUCUUCAAUUUCUGUAACUAAGUUUUGUACUUUUAUCCUUGGAGAAAGUUCUUUUUAUUUUUUUCCCCCAAAAUUUAGAAAUAAUGCAGCUGCUUCUUGAAGUACUGUACUACUAUUUCAGAGUUCUUUUUCUUCCCUUAUAUCAGUCAAUUAUACAGUAAAAGCUACAUAAGCACAAUUUUAAAGCUCCAAAGCUCAAGAAAUAUAGUGAUUUUCCUCUUAAUGAAAAUCUAUUUCCUAACGUAAUUGAUAGAUUACUGUUCAGUUUAAUGAGCAGAUGAAAUGUCCCAACAAGUUUAUGAAUGAAACCCCUGUCAGUCAGUACAAAAACAAAACUCCUUUUUCAACGUUCUUUUUUGGGUAUUACUGUAAAUUCAUUUCAACGCAGCUAAAAGGUUUAACACAAGCUUUAGAGGAAUUGGUGGAUUAUCAAAAUGCUGAUUAAAACUAUUCAUUUCUUAUACAAUAAAUAAUUUUUUGUUGGACCUACCCUUUACUACCUUUCUAAAAAUCAAACCUGAAAUAUGCUUUCCUGAGUCUCAUAUCUUAAGUGAACAUUAUCAGAAUCAGGUUUAAUAUCACCAGCAUAUGUUGUGAAAUUUGUGUUAUGUGGGAACAGUACAUUGCAAUACAUAAUAAUAAAAACUGUGAAUUACUAUAUAAAUCGUUAAAUGAGUAGUGCAAAAAAAAAAGUGAGAUAGUGUUCACACGUUCGAUGUGCAUUAAGAAAUUGGAUGGCAGAGGAGAAGAAGCUGUUCAUGAAUUGUUAAGACUGUGCCCUUAGGUUCCCGUAUCUCCUCCCUAAUGGUAGCAAUGAGAAGAGGGCAUGCCCUGGGUGAUGGGGUACUUAAUAAUGGAUGCCACCUUUUUGAGACAUCGCUCCUUGCAACUAAUGCAGUUGCAUGCAUCAUGUUCUUCCUUAUGUAUGAUUUCAUUCAAAUUUUGCAUCCUCUAUAGAUUUUCUUCUAGUCUCAAGGACAUGCAACUACCUCCUGAAGGUAUCUGUUUUUCAUCCUUACUACUGAUUCCCAGGACUUUGAUCAGUACCUGUGCCUUCAGAAAUUACUUUGGCAAUACUGCACUGCUGUGAACCAAGAGCAAUAUUAUGUCACUACUGCACUAUUAAAACAAUUUGUACUUGUAUGUUUUAUUGUAGUCAUGCUCCUUUAAAAUAAUUAGACUGUCAAUGCAGAUUAUUAAAGAAACACUAAUGAUUCUACCUUAAAAUUAAGACAGUAUUGACUGCAUUUUCUGGCUGCUAAUCACAAACUUUUACUUUUCAGAAUGUAUGCACUGUUGGCAAAGCCUUUGUCAAACAGCUUGAAAAUGGAGCAGAGAGCUGCUUUCAUAAGUGCAGCCUCACAAAGUAUCUCCUGUCACCAGGUGCUAGAGGGUAUUUGCUAAUGAUGACCAUGUACUGUAACAGAUCAAUGGAAAGUUGCCAGGAGGUUUCCAGGUAUAUAUGCUGGAAGAUUUGAUUUGGAAACGAUAAGGCUACAGAUAUUGUAAACUAUUGCAACACACAGACACACACAAAAUGUUGGAGGAACUCAGCAAGUUAAACAGCAUCUAUGGAAAUGAAUUGACACUUUGGGCUGAGACCUAAUAGUGUUAACCAUAAUUCGCUUUAAUUAUCUGGAUGUAUAAAUUCAGCACAGUACUGAUUACUAUGUUAGAUUUCACACACUCCUACUACCUGGUCACUCCCCAUGAUCCUUGCCCAUCUUGCUGGAUGUGAAGGGUUGAAUUUGUGACCUUUAAUAUCUAGGUGACAACUCAAAUUAUUAUAGAGUCUAAGAGCAUCCUGAGUCUUUAUGGCCUCAGUACCUGACAAAUGCUGUCAACUUUCAGCUGCAGCGAGCAAAAUUCAGCCCAAGUAUUUCAGGUGAUUUAAAUAAAUACUGAUCUGAAUGUGCAAUAGAAACAUGUACACAUUAUGAAAGUCAGAUUCUUGGUAUAUAAAGAUACCUACUUUACAUCUAGAUAAAAUUAAUGCAUGGCACAAGAAACGAAUAAUAAGCAUGGCAAAAUAAAACAGGAAAAUUUCAUUUUUCUCACUGUCACUUAUAUCCAAGUUUUAAAAAUGCUUGUGCAUCUUAACAGUCUAUCUCUUCACAGGUGCUGUUCGACUUGCUGAGCAUUUUGAAUAUUUUAUAUUUAAUAAAGACACCUGAUACUUUUAUUCCUAUUGCUGUUGAUGUCGUUAUCAAUCCAAACUUCAACCCCCCCAUCCCCAAACCUAUUUUUAAACCCGUAUUUGACAGAUGGUAAAAAAAAAUGAAGAAACAACUUUUAGCAUUUGCUCAGCUGAUUAAUUUUUUAAAAAUCUAUAAAGAAGUUUUUGUCUCAUGGGGCUAUUAAUUUGAAGAAGAUCUAUUUUAUCAGCAUUAAAAACACAUCAUUUGUCAUUACUAACUUCAGCACAAUUACUACCAAAUAAUAGUAACACCACAAACCUCACUAGGUGUUAAGAGGGCAAUUUGGACACAUCUGAAUUGCAGUGAG